rnacentral:rRNA from 1 species
UGGGGAAUAUUGGACAAUGGGCGCAAGCCUGAUCCAGCAAUGCCGCGUGUGUGAAGAAGGCCUUCGGGUUGUAAAGCACUUUUAUCAGGAGCGAAAUACGAUGGGCUAAUACCCCGUCGGGCUGACGGUACCUGAGGAAUAAGCACCGGCUAACUUCGUGCCAGCAGCCGCGGUAAUACGAAGGGUGCAAGCGUUAAUCGGAAUUACUGGGCGUAAAGCGUGCGUAGGCGGUGAUUUAAGUCUGCUGUGAAAUCCCCGGGCUCAACCUGGGAAUGGCAGUGGAUACUGGAUCGCUAGAGUGGGAUAGAGGAGGGUGGAAUUCCCGGUGGAGCGGUGAAAUGCGUAGAGAUCGGGAGGAACAUCAGUGGCGAAGGCGGCCAUCUGGAUCAACACUGACGCGGAGGCACGAAAGCGUGGGGAGCAAACAGG